GGGUCAGUAGGUUGGUCGUGCCACCGGUACGUACUGGUCUCACUGAUUCCUCCUUCCUGAAGAACCGUAAUGCCAUUAAUUUGGUGUUGCGGGGAAACAGGACCGUUACUUUGAAAAAAUUAGAGUGUUUAAAGCAAGCUAACGCUUAAAUACAUUAGCAUGGAAUAAUGAAAUAGGACGAUCGAUCCUAUUUUGUUGGUUUCUAGGAUUGACGUA
rnacentral:rRNA from 1 species